AUUGAACGCUGGCGGCAGGCCUAACACAUGCAAGUCGAGCGGAUGAAGGGAGCUUGCUCCUGGAUUCAGCGGCGGACGGGUGAGUAAUGCCUAGGAAUCUGCCUGGUAGUGGGGGAUAACGUCCGGAAACGGGCGCUAAUACCGCAUACGUCCUGAGGGAGAAAGUGGGGGAUCUUCGGACCUCACGCUAUCAGAUGAGCCUAGGUCGGAUUAGCUAGUUGGUGGGGUAAAGGCCUACCAAGGCGACGAUCCGUAACUGGUCUGAGAGGAUGAUCAGUCACACUGGAACUGAGACACGGUCCAUACUCCUACGGGAGGCAGCAGUGGGGAAUAGUGGACAAUGGGCGAAAGCAUGAUCCAGCCAUGCCGCGUGUGUGAAGAAGGUCUUCGGAGUGUAAAGCACUUUAAGUUGGGAGGAAGGGCAGUAAGUUAAUACCUUGCUGUUUUGACGUUACCAACAGAAGAAGCACCGGCUAACUUCGUG
rnacentral:rRNA from 1 species